UGAGUAAUGAUGACACUAGCAGUCCAGCCUGCAUGGAUGCUGACAUGGAUGCUGUCUCCCAUUCUUACCACUGGAUGGGAAGAAAUGCUAGAUGCAAUCCAGCCAGUCUGUACUCGACUGUCAGUUCCAUCUUCUCAACUCACAGUGUCUUCCAAAGUCCGUGCCACACCACAGCCUGGAACAUCUCCCAAGGUGGUAUAUUCAGGCAAUGGUAGAGCUCAUGUCACGCUAUUGUAUGUCUCAGGUUUCAAAUAAUUCAUCAGUGAAUUCUUCUCAACCUGGUCAAUCAUGUGAACUUAGAAGAUGAUUCCUCCCCAGCUGAUCCUCAGGUGAGACAUCAGCCUUGGCCAUCAUCUACAUCUGGAUUCCUGACCCAGAGAAACUGGAACACUAAGACCCAUUCUUCUUCUCAAGUAUCCAAAAAUAAAGUUGAUCCAAGUAAGAAGUGGACAGCAUAAAAGAUUGUAUGGAAGCUAUAAUGCAUCUACAUCUGCAGUAACUAAUCAUAAAAUGAUUUGUAUGAUCAUUCUUCACAUGAUUAGAAUUACUAUGGGAAAGAAGAAAAAGAAAUGCCUCUCUGGAUGGUGACUAUAACCUAUAGCCUUGCCCAAUAUGACUCAGGAUUUGGUACUGGCUGUGCCUUUCAUGGGAUGCUUACUUAUCCUGGUCGAUGGCCUAAAGCCCAACCGUCCAGCUUAUAUCCAGGGAUAAACUCAGCCUGCGGGGCCUCAGGAAGAAGGUCGUAGCCAUUUCAUUGAGUCCAGGGCAGAAAAGUGGAAGAAAAAUGUGAAUGUGUUAAUUUGAGGACUUUAGCUCUGAGAGGUUUCAGGAUUCAGUCCAAAAUGCAGAAAACAAUAAAAAGCUCAAAAACAAUGGACAAGACUAGAAUCUAACAACAGGUG
rnacentral:lncRNA from 10 species